AAUAAUUUAAAAAAACUAAACACGUUCUCUUUCACAAACACGGGAAUACACCACUCUCGGCAAAACACGAUCUCACCCUGAUUUGGAUAAUCUCGAUCUCGCUCCCUAAUCUCGACCUCAAUCUCGCCAUUGAUCUCAAUCCCCAUCCAACUUUUGUUACUGAUUUGCAUGGUUCGUUGUCUCCGAUUUCACUUUCCAAUCUGCACAAUCUCCCUCCGAUCUGUGCGCAACCUCCAAUCUUCACCGUGUUUUCUAUUUGAUUCAUAUGUCAACUCUUACAAUCUGUUAUACAAACUUGCAAAUGGUGAAUUCAUAAGUCUGUUUCUUUAGGUAUCUUGAAGAUCGCUGAGUCAGCUACUGGAUGUAAGCUGAUCUUUGUUUAUAACAUGGAAACCUCAUUGAUCCUGUUCAAAGGAAGGUGCAAACAUUACUGAAGUCUACACUUGCUGAUGCAGUUUCCAUUAUCCGAGCAAAUCCUACUGUUUUGGAAGGUCUUGGUGCUUAUUUGAAAGAAAUAAAACACCAUCCCUAAGGCAACGAAGGAUAGACAUUGGUUAUGGUUCAGAUAAUACUGUUACUUUCUAUCAUUGCAACGAAGGAUAGGCUCUCUCAGAUUACCGGUUAGCAAAAACGGUGUGACAGUGUUGGGAGAAUAUCCGGUGAUAGUGGGUGUAAGGAAUCAUAGUUCUACAAAAGAGAAAUGAAUUCACUGAUCUCAAAACGGGUCGCUGUCCCAACAUCGUCAAGAGAAGAUAAAUGUCUACACCAUAAGGUCAGCAUAGAGAAUCCCGCUAGUAGCAGGCCCAGGCACUGGAAAAGCUGGCCGAUGUAUUCAUUGAAGGAUAAGUUAUCCUUAUGAUUUCUAAAUUACAACUGAUUGGUGUGCACCGAUUCAAAUAUUUUUAAUGUUUAUCUUUACAAUCGUAUAAUCAGUAGGAAUGGUGUUUAGUUAGAGGAUCUUUACACCAUAAGUGUAUCUUUGACAUGUUGUACUUUGCAUAUUAUAGAUGGCUUUUUGAAUUCCAUAUGCAAGUGUAACUGUUAUAAAUUGAUGCCAUCUAACUUUAUUUCAAAACACAGAAGUAUAAUUACAGGAAAUGUCUUCACCUCGCUAGUACACCAGCUUCGAGGUCAUAUUGUCAUACGGUAAUCCUUCCAAUGUUUGGAGUAAAAAAGGUUCGUCAUGAGAAUUCGGCUCUAACAACACUCGAGGAUGGAUCGUGCUUAAUUUCAUCUGUGAAGGUUUAGGCUUGGAUUACCGAGAUGUCGAACCAUCUAGAUCUGUCAGCGUCACACCUCUUUGAUGACCUUUCAUUCGAUCAGUCAGUCAGCAAAGAGAUGAGUCUUCUUAUAAGUGAUUUACUUUACUGUGACUACUAAGUGUUUGAUAGAAUGUCAUGUGUGUUAUGAUCUGUUGUUGAAAACACUUAGAAAAGUUUAUGUGAAUGUCUAGAGUUCGUGUAGUUAUAAUAACUGAUGUUAAACCGUGAUGAAUGGCUGCUAAACCGAGCUGUUCCAACUGCUGUUCUGAGUGUUGGAGGGGACGUAAAGUGUCGUGCCUGUUUAUGAGAAAUGCUGAGAUUUCAUAGUAACUUAAUCAAUGAAUAUGCUCUAAGAAUUUGAUUGUGCAGCUAGGGAACAUUUGAUAUGCGGAGAUUUCAUAAUAACUUAACUGUUAUGGAUGAACAUUUAAUAUGCGGAGAUUUCAUAAUAACUUAACUGUUAUGGUUCAGAUAACACUGUCACUGUUGUAAUGGUAGACAUGUUUAAAUGUUAGUAGAUGCAAGUGUAUAGGGAGUUAGUAGUUAAAAUCUAUUUAGUAAACCAAAAUAGAAUGUGAUGUGAUUUUGAUGUAUUUUGCUUUUGUUAAUGAUAUUAAAUAUUGCUUUUUA